rnacentral:lncRNA from 10 species
ACGCCUCCAACCCCCUUCGCGGCCACCCCUCCUUCUCAGGUAUCGGUGGGAGAAGGAGGCGUGCAUACUCUGUGGCCACCACCGGGAGCCCUUCAGACUGCCCUCACCACACUGCAGGCAACCAGUCCUGGCAACGGGCUCCGUGGCGGUGUGUACAAGAGGUGGUCACCACUCAGGAAGAGGGUGGCAGGAAGGCUGACUGGAGGAAGCGGCAUGUGAGAAAGGCCCUGAGUGACAAGCAGUUCUUGCAGAGGAGCUCUUCCUUCCCAAGAAGAGCAGCACAUUCGAAGCCCCCACAGUGCAGGACAGCCCACGACUGCAGCCACGGGAGCCCCUGACGAACCACACACCCACCCUGGGCCGAGCGCUCUGCCGAGUGCAUGGGAUGGAGACGGACCACGCACCCAGCCUGGUCCCGGCGCUCUGCCAAGUGCACAGGAUGAAGUAGUUCCUAGAGGUGGGGAGGGGGCAGGGAACGGUCAGCUCCCAAGGAUCUCAGACUCUGUCCCCAGGCCGAGGG